CGCCAGACUCCUACGGGAGGCAGCAGUGGGGGAUAUUGCACAAUGGGGGGAACCCUGAUGCAGCGACGCCGCGUGGGUGAAGGAGUGCUUCGGCAUGUAAAGCCCUAUCGGCAGGGAAGAAGCAAGACGGUGCCUGACUAAGAAGCCCCGGCUAACUACGUGCCAGCAGCCGCGGUAAUACGUAGGGGGCGAGCGUUAUCCGGAUUUACUGGGUGUAAAGGGAGCGUAGGCGGUUAGAUAAGUCUGAUGUGAAAGCCCACAGCUUAACUGUGGGAUUGCAUUGGAAACUAUAGAACUAGAGUGUCGGAGAGGUAAGUGGAAUUCCUAGUGUAGCGGUGAAAUGCGUAGAUAUUAGGAGGAACACCAGUGGCGAAGGCGGCUUACUGGACGAUGACUGACGCUGAGGCUCGAAAGCGUGGGGAGCAAACAGGAUUAGAUACCCGAGUAC
rnacentral:rRNA from 1 species